UGCAUCGGAACGUAUCCUGUAAUGGGGGAUAACGUAGCGAAAGUUACGCUAAUACCGCAUACGCUCGAGAGAGGAAAGUGGGGGAUCGCAAGACCUCACGUUAUAGGAGCGGCCGAUGUCCGAUUAGCUAGUUGGUGGGGUAAAGGCCUACCAAGGCGACGAUCGGUAGCUGGUCUGAGAGGAUGAUCAGCCACACUGGGACUGAGACACGGCCCAGACUCCUACGGGAGGCAGCAGUGGGGAAUAUUGCACAAUGGGCGAAAGCCUGAUGCAGCGACGCCGCGUGAGGGAUGACGGCCUUCGGGUUGUAAACCUCUUUCAGCAGGGACGAAGCGCAAGUGACGGUACCUGCAGAAGAAGCACCGGCUAACUACGUG
rnacentral:rRNA from 1 species